rnacentral:rRNA from 1 species
UACGGAGGGGGCUAGCGUUGUUCGGAAUUACUGGGCGUAAAGCGCGCGUAGGCGGCUUUGUAAGUUAGAGGUGAAAGCCCGAAGCUCAACUUCGGAAUUGCCUUUAAGACUGCAUCGCUAGAAUCGUGGAGAGGUAAGUGGAAUUCCGAGUGUAGAGGUGAAAUUCGUAGAUAUUCGGAAGAACACCAGUGGCGAAGGCGACUUACUGGACACGUAUUGACGCUGAGGUGCGAAAGCGUGGGGAGCAAACAGG